rnacentral:misc_RNA from 1 species
UACGAAGGGGGCUAGCGUUGUUCGGAAUUACUGGGCGUAAAGCGCGCGCAGGCGGUUCUUCAAGUCAGAGGUGAAAGCCCCGAGCUCAACUCGGGAAUUGCCUUUGAGACUGGAGGACUUGGGUACGGGAGAGGUGAGUGGAAUUCCGAGUGUAGAGGUGAAAUUCGUAGAUAUUCGGAAGAACACCAGUGGCGAAGGCGGCUCACUGGCCCGUUACCGACGCUCAGGCGCGACAGCGUGGGGAUCAAACAGG